rnacentral:rRNA from 1 species
ACGGAAGGCAGCAGUGAGGAAUAUUGGUCAAUGGGCGAGAGCCUGAACCAGCCAAGUCGCGUGAAGGAUGAAGGUUCUAUGGAUUGUAAACUUCUUUUGUCUGAGGGUAAAGUGAGUCACGUGUGGCUUAUUGCAAGUAUCAGACGAAUAAGCAUCGGCUAACUCCGUGCCAGCAGCCGCGGUAAUACGGAGGAUGCGAGCGUUAUCCGGAUUUAUUGGGUUUAAAGGGUGCGUAGGCGGGCUAUUAAGUCAGCGGUCAAAUCGUGUUGCUCAACAAUACUGAGCCGUUGAAACUGGUGGUCUUGAGUGUAAAUGAGGUAGGCGGAAUGUGACGUGUAGCGGUGAAAUGCUUAGAUAUGUCACAGAACCCCGAUUGCGAAGGCAGCUUACCAAGAUACAACUGACGCUGAGGCACGAAAGCGUGGGUAUCAAACAGGAUUAGAUACCCUGGUA